UCUUCACUCUGGCUUGCUGAUAGUUUUAUCUUGCAGCAUUAUUCUGAACGUUGCUCUCAUUUGUAUAAGAUGUAAACUGACCUGUACACACUGUGCAGAUGAAAAGAACAGUGAUAUAUCAAAAGUGGAAUGGUCACGCAAGCAAUGCCAUGACGAGGACACACUGAAUUACGCUGCCCUGAACCUUAAGAAGCCAAAACCCAGGAGACAGAAGAAAGACGGGAAUAAUGACACUCUGUAUUCUGACCUCCGCUACAGAGAUUAUGAAUAAAGAUGCUUCUCAUUCAUGUCAGUCACACAGAGUGUUCAGGGUGUAGCUUUAAUAAUGUUCAGAGGAGGGCAGGGGAGCCAGUGCUUCUGAGACUGAAUCACGGGAUU